rnacentral:rRNA from 1 species
CAAGGAUUCCCUAACUGCGAGUGAAGAGGGAAAAGCUCAAAUUUAAAAUCUGGCAGCUGCUGUCCGAGUGUAAUUUAGAGAAGCAAUGCCCGCGCUGGACCGUGUAAAAGUCUCCUGGAAUGGUGCGUCAUAGAGGGUGAGAAUCCCGUCUUUGAUACGGACUACCAGUGCAUUGUGGUAUGCUCUCAAAGAGUCGUGUUGUUUGGGAAUGCAGCACUAAAUGGGUGGUAAAUUCCAUCUAAAGCUAAAUAUUGGCGAGAGACCGAUAGCAAACAAGUACCGUGAGGGAAAGAUGAAAAGAACUUUGGAAAGAGAGUUAAACAGUACGUGAAAUUGUUGAAAGGGAAACGCUUGAAGUCAGUCGCGUUGGUUGGGAAUCAGUCUUGUUCUGCAUGAUGUACUUUCCAGUCAAUGGGUCAGCAUCAGUUUUGACGCUGGAUAAGGCUGAGGGAAUGUGGCACCUUCGGGUGUGUUAUAGCCCUCGUUGUAUACAGUGGUUGGGACUGAGGAUCUCAGGCCUGUAGGAUGCUGGCAUAAUGGCUUUAAUCGACCGGUCUUGAAACACGGA